CCUACGGGUGGCAGCAGUGAGGAAUAUUGGUCAAUGGGCGCGAGCCUGAAUCAGCCAAGUAGCGUGAAGGAUGACUGCCCUACGGGUUGUAAACUUCUUUUAUAAAGGAAUAAAGUGAGGCACGUGUGCCUUUUUGUAUGUACUUUAUGAAUAAGGAUCGGUUAACUCCGUGCCAGCAGCCGCGGUAAUACGGUGGUUCCGAGCGUUAUUCGGGUUUAUUGGGUUUUAAGGGGGCGUAGAUGGGUUGUUAAGUCAGUUGUUAAAGUUUGCGGCUCAACCGUAAACUUGCAAUUGAUACUGGCAGCCUUGAGUACAGUUGAGGUAGGCGGAAUUCGUGGUGUAGCGGUGAAAUGCUUAGAUAUCACG
rnacentral:rRNA from 1 species